rnacentral:SRP_RNA from 1 species
GCUGGGCGUGGUGGUGCGCAUCUGUAAUCCCAGCUACUGGGGAGGCUGAGGCAGGAGAAUGGCUUGAACUCAGGAGGCGGAGGUUGCAGUGAGCCAAGAUCAUGCCACUGCACCCCUGCCUGGGUGACAGAGCAAGACUCUGUCUCAA